AGUUGGUAAGGUAACGGCUUACCAAGGCGACGAUCAGUAGCCGACCUGAGAGGGUGAUCGGCCACAUUGGAACUGAGACACGGUCCAAACUCCUACGGGAGGCAGCAGUGGGGAAUAUUGCACAAUGGGCGAAAGCCUGAUGCAGCAACGCCGCGUGAGUGAUGAAGGCCUUCGGGUCGUAAAACUCUGUCCUCAAGGAAGAUAAUGACGGUACUUGGGGAGGAAGCCCCGGCUAACUACGUGCCAGCAGCCGCGGUAAUACGUAGGGGGCUAGCGUUAUCCGGAUUUACUGGGCGUAAAGGGUGCGUAGGCGGUCUUUCAAGUCAGGAGUGAAAGGCUACGGCUCAACCGUAGUAAGCUCUUGAAACUGGGAGACUUGAGUGCAGGAGAGGAGAGUGGAAUUCCUAGUGUAGCGGUGAAAUGCGUAGAUA
rnacentral:rRNA from 1 species